UGGAAAAUAAGGGGAGGAUGGGGGAACACACAAACUGAUGACAAAGUCGCAUCAGGCUAUGGAUACAAGAAUUAAGAUGCCCCUCCCUACAGGUGGUCCUUGGGACUCCACAGAAGGCAACCAAGGCCUCCUGGGGAAGGCAGGCCAAGGUCUCCUCUCUUGGGGUCUAUAUCUAAAGCCUUGGCCUAGAAAUCCUGAUCCUAGUACCUUUGGCCCCAGAGGGUAUGAAGGGAUAAGCACAAAUCAGUCUCCACUUCUGGAGUCACAGUUUGCUGUAACCUUGUGAAGGUGUCUGGGAGCUGAAACUUCCCUCCCUGGCUCUCUGUGUCUCUAGGUUACCAGGCUCCUCUCAGCCAAAGCCACUCUCCCCGAUCCCAGCUUCCUCCUCACUUCCUCUAGUUUGCAGCACUGGGGAGUCUGACCCCUUCCUGCUGGAUAGGCCUUUCUUCUAUCUAGCUCAUCCUUCCUCGGAGAAGGUGUGACAAUGCUAGCUUUAGAUCCCUAUGGUCUUUAUCUUUUGGUGCCUCUUUAAGAGAAUACUGGGAUGGUUUUUGGCUUUGAUUUUAGGACAGAUUUGCAGAAAUUUGAGAAAAACCUGGAGCAGAAACCCUCCCGCAUCCCUGAUUUGUCUAUUGGAUCUCCUGAGAGGAAACACUUUACAAAGAAUUCUAAAGCUACAUUUGCUUAGGAGACACCAAUCUAAAGUUGACACGUUAUUUGCUAUUUGAGAUCAAAAUGAAGGACACAAGAGACACACUCCAUUAUUAGAGGUUCGGUCAACCGGAAAGUUUAGCAUUGGCUUGAUUCAGCAGUGAUGAACUUAUAUUGAAAUGUUCUACCAGCGAGUGAAAGAAAUUAAAUAAGCAAAUAUACUGAAAUACUAUCCAAAAUGCUUCAAGAAGUCUCAGCAAUGAAGGAAGCAGAAAUAGAAUGAGAACUUAUCAAAUAAGAGGGACAGACGAUCAGGGGUGCACCUAGAUAUCCACUAAGUUGGCAUCAGGUCACUAUUGAAAAGAAAUACAGACACUUAAACUAUGGUAGCAGAUGAGGCAAAAGCUGUGCUGUCUGACUGAGCCCCGCUCUUCCUCCCUUCCUUUAAGGCACCGUUAAAGAAAGUUCGGAAAGGCAAAUCUGUGGGGUGGGGGUAAGGGUUCAUGCAAUCCUUGACCCACCCCUUCAAUAACAUACAUGCUUUACUUCCACCCGAGCCAAUUUCUUGAGACAUUGAGAGGGUGGCUGAAACGAAGCCACACCUUCCAAAAGCCACUCACUUGAAGAGACACCAGAAAACUUUUUGUUAAGGUAGGUUUCCAAACUGGGUGCCGCCGAAGGUGAGCUCAAGUCCCAGAGACACAACCAUACAGUGCAGUCCACGCUAGACAGCAAAGUAGGGAGGAAUGGAGGAAGGUGGUUUCAGGCAUCUUAGAACAGGCUGAGCCAGAAAACGUCUUCAUCUUUCCCAAUACCCUUAGCCCACUUCUUUUUAGAAACAAGCUAGCCAAACCGCGGAAGAAGCAUGUUAUCACAGAUUCACAUUUCCCAAUGGGCUUCCCGUUCCCCACUAAUAAAAUCGUCUGCUCACCCUGCUUCACACUAAUAACUGGGGAGGGAUAGGGAGGAGGCGGGGAAGCUAUGCCCAGAUUCAAGGCAGCGUCCCCCAACUCCCUUGUUUAUAGAAAUGAAGGUCUGUCUCGCUUACUUAGGCUCGGGAAAGAGGUCAGCCUAUAUCAGCACGGUUCACACAGAUUGUGGAUUUUUCCCCCUUCCCUUAUCUUAAAUUGACCUGCUUUUAAGAUAAAGACAUAAUAGAGAAAGCAUUGACCUUACCUGGUCCCUAAUGAGUUGGAACUCAGAAAACCUCUCUCUCAUUUCCUCUUGUCUGGGAUCGCCUGAGAAGAGACCCAUGCUUUCCUUGCGACAGCUCCGCAGCGCUCACCGCCGCCCAGACUCCAGGCAGCUCGGAGGUUAUAUGGCCUCUGUAAGUCUGUGAAUCUUCCUGGGCUUUCAAAAUCAAAGACUAUGAAGCCACAUCCAAGCAUCGUCACUGGAGCUUCCAGGUCCAGACUCAGAAGCAUUUACAAUCUCUUGGAAGACUCCCAAGCAAGUUUUUCCCUACGAAAGGCCAAGUCCUGAGCUUGUCUCCUCCAAAGCGCUGUCUCCUCGAGGCCCUGACCGCCCGAAGGUUUGGACACUGUCCGGAUGCUCGCUUAACUGGACCGAGACUCAGCUUACCUUGCUCAUGCGGGCCCCAAGCUAUUUCCACCGGGCUAUUCCCCCCCCCCCCCAGGGUGUGCCCGCAAGCUGGGAUCUAUCUUUCCCCCUGGCCUUGAGGACCCCAGCUGUGUCCUUAUAGGUGAUCACAGUAUCUCAGGACCCCUUCCUUCCCUGCUCAGGGCAUCUCUGUCCUGUUGUUUUCGCCUCUUCUCUGAGCCCAGCCCAGUCCACCGCCAGUCAGCUGAGAGAACUGCUUUCCCUUCUCCUUGGCCCCACAGCUCCGGGUUCCCAGGCUGGGGCGGGGGUGGGGAGCCGCUUUGGGAUGCUAAACAUCAAACAAGCCAAGCCUGGGGUUUCAGGCCCCGAUGCCACUAGAGCUGCUCUCCAGGGCUCUCGAGAAAGUCCUCGUGUUUACAUGGCGGGGUUGGGGUGGGGUGGGGGAAGAGGAGCAAAGCGGAGGAUGCUGUCUGAAGAAUCCCCCCCACUGCCUGAACCUUCGAGGCCUGGGGUUGGGUGGGGUACUUGUCAGCGGACAGUUUCUAAGGCAUUUGUUCUGUAGGUUCAUUGGGGAAGUUGUUUCCCUCUUCUAACAUCUCAGUGCCAGGGGCAUCUCCGAAAUACUUCUGUCUUCUCCUGGGAGGUCAGAACCGACUUGAGCCUGAGUUAUUGAAAGCGUAAAAUAAGCGAGUGCCCCUUCCAGAUGCUCACCUGUAGCAGGUUGUGUAGGAGGAGAGUGUCCCCAAGCUGUGGGAAGCUCUCACCUUGAGCUAGUUUACUAAAGAGAGAGCCCCAAUCUGGGUCCCAAGAUUGCUUCAGCAGCUGCCACAAGUUCCUUAGGCAGGAGCUGGAGGAGUCGGGGUGCCUGAUGAUAAGAAAGGCUAAAGCUCUGUUUGUUGGUUCUCAUUCCCCAAGGCGCCUCAGAAUUCACCUAUUCCAGAGACAAAUAAACAGACUUCUAACUAA